AGAGUUUGAUCAUGGCUCAGAGCGAACGCUGGCGGCAGGCCUAACACAUGCAAGUCGAGCGCCCCGCAAGGGGAGCGGCAGACGGGAGAGUAACACGUGGGAACGUACCCUUUGGUUCGGAACAACCCAGGGAAACUUGGGCUAAUACCGAAUAAGCCCUUACGGGGAAAGAUUUAUCGGAGAGGGAUCGGCCCGCGUUGGAUUAGGUAGUUGGUGGGGUAAUGGCCUACCAAGCCGACGAUCCAUAGCUGGUUGAGAGGAUGAUCAGCCACACUGGUACUGAGACACGGCCCAGACUCCUACGGGAGGCAGCAGUGGGGAAUCUUGGACAAUGGGGGCAACCCUGAUCCAGCCAUGCCGCGUGAUCGAUGAAGGCCUUAGGGUUGUAAAGAUCUUUCAGCUGGGAAGAUAAUGACGGUACCAGCAGAAGAAGCCCCGGCUAACUCCGUGCCAGCAGCCGCGGUAAUACGGAGGGGGCUAGCGUUGUUCGGAAUUACUGGGCGUAAAGCGCACGUAGGCGGAUUGGAAAGUUGGGGGUGAAAUCCCGGGGCUUAACCCCGAGCCUGCAUUCGAUACGGGCGGGCUAGAAUUCGGUAGGGGAGACUGGAAUUCCUGGUGUAGCGGUGAAAUGCGCAGAUAUCAGGAGGAACACCGAUGGCGAAGGCAGGUCUCUGGGCCGAUAUUGACGCUGAGGAGCGAAAGCGUGGGGAGCGAACAGGAUUAGAUACCCUGGUAGUCCACGCCGUAAACGGUGGGCGCUAGGUGUGGGGCACUUUCCACGUGCUCUGUGCCGCAGCUAACGCAUUAAGCCCCCGCCUGGGGAGUACGGCCGCAAGGCUAAAACUC
rnacentral:rRNA from 1 species